UACGGAGGGUGCAAGCGUUAAUCGGAAUUACUGGGCGUAAAGCGCACGCAGGCGGUUUUUUAAGUCAGAUGUGAAAUCCCCGGGCUCAACCUGGGAACUACAUCUGAGACUGGCAAGCUAGAGUCUCGUAGAGGGGGGUAGAAUUCCAGGUGUAGCGGUGAAAUGCGUAGAUAUCCGGAGGAAUACCGGUGGCGAAGGCGGCCCCCUGGACCAAUACUGGCGCUCAGGUGCGAAAGCGUGGGGAGCAAACAGG
rnacentral:rRNA from 1 species